rnacentral:rRNA from 1 species
CCUACGGGAGGCAGCAGUGGGGGAUAUUGCACAAUGGGGGGAACCCUGAUGCAGCGACGCCGCGUGGGUGAAGAAGCGCCUCGGCGCGUAAAGCCCUGUCAGCAGGGAAGAAAAUGACGGUACCUGACUAAGAAGCCCCGGCUAACUACGUGCCAGCAGCCGCGGUAAUACGUAGGGGGCAAGCGUUACCCGGAAUCACUGGGGGUAAGGGGAGCGGAGACGGCUGAGCAAGCCUGAAGUGAAAGGCGGGGGCACAACCCCCGGACUGCUUUGGGAACUGUACGGCUGGAGUGCAGGAGAGGUAAGGGGAAUUCCUAGUGUAGCGGUGAAAUGCGUAGAUAUUAGGAGGAACACCAGUGGCGAAGGCGGCUUACUGGACUGUAACUGACGUUGAGGCUCGAAAGCGUGGGGAGCAAACAGGAUUAGAUACCCGUGUAGUC